GCAAGGAGUCAUCAUGUCAGGUAGUCCUGGGGCACGGUCCUAGGGCUCAGGUCCUCCGAGAGAGAGAAAGAAAGAAAGAGAGAAUUAGAGAGAGCAUAUGUGGGGUGGCCCGUCCUCUUCUGGCUGUGCCGGGUGGAGAUUAUAACAGAACAGCAGCAUGACCAGGUGGACUGGGGACAGCAAGGAGUCAUCAUGUCAGGUACUCCUGGGGCAUGGUCCUAGGGCUCAGGUCAGUUGAAACUGGAGCAGCAGCAUGGCCAGGUGGACUGGGGACAGCAAGGAGUCAUCAUGUCAGGUAGUCCUGGGGCAUGGUCCUAGGGCUCAGGUCAGUUGAAACUGGAGCAGCAGCAUGGCCAGGUGGACUGGGGACAGCAAGGAGUCAUCAUGUCAGGUAGUCCUGGGGCAUGGUCCUAGGGCUCAGGUCCUCCGAGAGAGAGAAAGAAAGAAGGAGAGAAUUAGAGAACGCACACUUAGAUUCACACAGGACACCGAAUUAGGACAGGAGAAGUACUCCAGAUA